AUUGAACGCUGGCGGCAUGCCUUACACAUGCAAGUCGAACGGCAGCGCGGGGCAACCUGGCGGCGAGUGGCGAACGGGUGAGUAAUAUAUCGGAACAUACCCUAGAGUGGGGAUAACGUAGCGAAAGUUACGCUAAUACCGCAUACGCACUAAGGUGGAAAGUGGGGGAUCUUCGGACCUCAUGCUCAUGGAGUGGCCGAUAUCUGAUUAGCUAGUUGGUGAGGUAAAGGCUCACCAAGGCGACGAUCAGUAGCUGGUUUGAGAGAACGACCAGCCACACUGGAACUGAGACACGGUCCAGACUCCUACGGAGGCAGCAGUGGGGAAUUUUGGACAAUGGGGGCAACCCUGAUCCAGCAAUGCCGCGUGAGUGAAGAAGGCCUUCGGGUUGU
rnacentral:rRNA from 1 species